rnacentral:antisense_RNA from 1 species
CUUGACCGAGCCCAGCCACAACGGCGUCUCACGGCCCUGGCCGUAGGUGGCCAGCAACGCCUGCGCUUC